rnacentral:rRNA from 1 species
UUCUUCGGAAGCAGAGACCGGCGCACGGGUGCGUAACGCGUAUGCAAUCUGCCUUUCACAGAGGGAUAGCCCAGAGAAAUUUGGAUUAAUACCUCAUAGCAUAGCACAAUCGCAUGAUUGAGCUAUUAAAGUCACAACGGUGAAAGAUGAGCAUGCGUCCCAUUAGCUGGUUGGUAAGGUAACGGCUUACCAAGGCUACGAUGGGUAGGGGUCCUGAGAGGGAGAUCCCCCACACUGGUACUGAGACACGGACCAGACUCCUACGGGAGGCAGCAGUGAGGAAUAUUGGUCAAUGGGCGCAAGCCUGAACCAGCCAUGCCGCGUGCAGGAUGACGGUCCUAUGGAUUGUAAACUGCUUUUGUACGAGAAGAAACACUCCUUCGUGAAGGAGCUUGACGGUAUCGUAAGAAUAAGGAUCGGCUAACUCCGUGCCAGCAGCCGCGGUAAUACGGAGGAUCCAAGCGUUAUCCGGAAUCAUUGGGUUUAAAGGGUCCGUAGGCGGUCUGGUAAGUCAGUGGUGAAAGCCCAUCGCUCAACGGUGGAACGGCCAUUGAUACUGCUGGACUUGAAUUAUUAGGAAGUAACUAGAAUAUGUAGUGUAGCGGUGAAAUGCUUAGAGAUUACAUGGAAUACCAAUUGCGAAGGCAGGUUACUACUAAUGGAUUGACGCUGAUGGACGAAAGCGUGGGUAGCGAACAGGAUUAGAUACCCUGGUAGUCCACGCCGUAAACGAUGGAUACUAGCUGUUGGAAGCAAUUUCAGUGGCUAAGCGAAAGUGAUAAGUAUCCCACCUGGGGAGUACGAACGCAAGUUUGAAACUCAAAGGAAUUGACGGGGGCCCGCACAAGCGGUGGAGCAUGUGGUUUAAUUCGAUGAUACGCGAGGAACCUUACCAAGGCUUAAAUGCAGACUGACCGAUUUGGAAACAGAUCUUUCGCAAGACAGUUUACAAGGUGCUGCAUGGUUGUCGUCAGCUCGUGCCGUGAGGUGUCAGGUUAAGUCCUAUAACGAGCGCAACCCCUGUUGUUAGUUGCCACCGAGUAUUGUCGGGAACUCUAACAAGACUGC